rnacentral:lncRNA from 1 species
GAAGAAUAUUUUUAGCAUGCCGUCAACGUGCAUGUGAGGACGUGUGUGCUGUGAGAGCAUGCGGUGCAGAGGCCACAUCCCUGUGAUUUAUCAGCUAUCCUCACCCUUGCAGGCAGACCUGGAGAGACCCACUCUGACCCCUCCAGCAUUGCAGGGAAACCUGUCGUUUGCAAGAGGAUGUUCAUUCACAGUGACGGGGAGUCUUCUGCCCAAAUCAAACCUAGGCUUUCCAGCUACUCAUGCUCCCUGCUUUAGUUACAUGUCUGGAAGAGAAGACCCAGUUAUCUGCCAAAGCCAUCAGCCUGCAAGCGCUCGCAGGAACUCGUGUGCUCUCCCUGCUGAUCUUGCUGGUUUUGCAAGGAAAAGCACUCCUGGCUGCAGAGGACGUCUGGUGCUCACAGGAGGGACGAAGCAGAUCCAAAACUGUAGUGCUCCCAGAUGAGGUGGGAUGGUGGGAACAACCAGCAGAGGUGGAAGGAUUCCUAUUCACAUGUGUGAUGACACCAGGACACAUCCCUGUGGUCCCCUCCCUGUCCCAGCACCCUCUCCAGAUUUACACGUCUCUGGAGGGGAGCAGGGACCGCAGCCGAGAGCCCGGUGCUUUGCCAUCGCUGCUGUGUGCUGGAGUGAGCCGGGGCAGCUGCCGGAGGACGCUGGAGGCAUUGUGCUGCCGGACAGGUUUGAAGGCUGGUGUUAAUGAGCUGGUGUUAAAGGGCUGGUGUUAAUGGGCACCCUGAUGGUGAGAAGUCAGCACUGGAGCCGAGCCGAGCCGUGCCGGGGCUGGAGCUGGGGGUUCUUCCACGUGGCUGUCACCGGAGAGUGAAGAGUCAAGCUGCAGUAACUCCCCGGUGCAGACAAGAUCCUGAACCGCAUCGCUUUAAUUACGCCAGCGCAAAUUUCAUUCAUUUGGUUAAGCCUGGGAGCUACAGAAAGAGCUAUUUCCAGGUGUGCUGGUUCAAUUAUUGCAUGCCCUGCUUUCCCCACCGUGCACAGCUGCAUGGCCGGGGUUUGUCGGGCUCUCCGGCUCCGGGACGAGUUCGCAGCCAUCAGCACAGCAAUGGCCCCACUCACGCCUCUGCACAUCCCGGCACACGGGCUCUGCUUGGGUCAGAUAAAUGGGUUUUAACCUGAUUUGUGCUGUAAUCUCCAUGUCGACAGGCUGUCAUCACGCACAGGAUAAAACCCCAGCUCCUGUGGCCAGGGCUCUGUGGGGUUUCACUGGACAGCUCCUGCCAGCAAGGCUGGCUGAUGACUCCAAGCCAAGUGGCUUCCCUGUCCUGGCAUCCCAGGGACACCUCUGGGCCGUGGGUGUUUGCAAAACAGCUUUUGUUUGCUUAACUCCUUGUACUGGAGCAGAGGCACAGCUCCCACUGCCCUGUCCCUCCUCCACAGGCAGGAACAGGGCGAUAGUGCUGCUGCCCAGGGCAGGCAGCUCAGUGCCAGCCCUGCCAUCCCACCCCUGGAAAAAAUAGCACCUUCUGGGUGCGUUAUUUGUACUUUCCUUUUCUGAACCUGCCUUAAAAAGAAGGGCUUGGGUUUCAAAGGCACAGCAUUUAAAUUACAUUCUUCCCUGCUCGUCCAGCUCUUUGCUGUAAUCUUAUUACUGUACGGAGCAAUGAGUGUGCGUGGGACAUGGUGGGAUUUUAACUGUAAUUCAUGGACAGAUAUAAAAUGCCGGGGUUAUUACGAAUUUUAUUCAGGAGAGUUUAAAUGUUACUGGUUCAGCAGUGCCUCUUUCCAUGCUUCCUUUGCAGCAGCUUUUGUUCAACCUCUCAGCUCACAGAAUUUAUUGUAUUGUUGGUGGCUUGCUGUAAUUCUCCAGGUUUUCAAAUAAUCCCAGGAAAACAGUUAACUGGAGCCUCUGCUUUAGUCUACAUUCACUGCAAAGCAUGUGGAGCCAAAGUCUGUCUUUCCUGACACCCCUGGCAAAUCCCUUGGGUUCAUCUGGGAAAACUGCCACUCUGAAUUUCAAAAUCAUGUCAGUGGGAGACGGGUCAGGAGCAUUGCAGGGAGCAGGGAGCACCAAAACCUGGGUCCCAAUGUUGCAGUCAGUAUUUGGGAAAGGUUCUCACCCAGCUCACAGCAGGGCACAGAGUUUUACUGGUACCAGUAACUACUCCCCAGGCAGACACAUCGGGAGUCGCGGUGAAUGGCCUUGGGAUGGAAUGUCUGUGAUGUAGCUCCUAGCUAGGUUUCGAUGGCCAUGGUGAUCACUGAUGACAUUGCAGUGGGAUGCAGAGCACUCCCAGACGUGGAUUCAGCCUGAUUCUCCUGGGAUUUGCCCAUUUUUCAUAACCUAACACACACACAGUGAGGUUUUGCACAUACGUCCCCACAAAGGCAACCCCUUUCCUGUCUUCACUCACUUCUGAAAAGCUUCAGAAAGCUUUUCCCUCUGCCAUAACUAAACCCUCCCUGCUGCUGCCAGAGCUCAUUCGCCAUUCUCUGCCCCCUGUGGAGAUACUUUGCCCCUCCUUUGCAUCCCCUGCCGACAUCCCUCAGACCUUCCCCAGCAGAGCCAGGUGGAUGUUUUGAAACCAAAGGGUUCUCUUUCAUCUAUUCCCACCUCUCCUCUGGCUCUGCCCCGCUGCAUCUCUCUGGACGUGCAUUGCACACGUAGCACACCCAGCACCCGUCAGCCCUGCUCAUCCAUCUCACACACCUUAAUCAAUGGGAAACUUGAGGAAAAGCCCAUAAACCAGAUGGGAAGUGAGGAUUGGAUUUGCAAUGUGCUGGUGCUAAUGGAAACCAUCCUUCACUGCAUAAUCAGAAGGAAUGGCCACACAUAACCCAUCAUUUCUGCCCAGGGUGCUCACAGGGCGGCCCUUUUGAGGACACGUGGGAUGAUGAGCCCUGGAGGCUCCAGUGUCCCUGCAGUGAUAACCCACAGUGAUUUGCAUGAGCAACAUCUGAUGCUGAGCACAGAGUCACCAGACUCCCUAGUGCCUGCAAAUCGGGGCAGCAAAUUGUCACGUCCCUAAAGCCAGCACAGCACUGUUUGCACACAGAAACCCUACAAAUUCCCAUUUUGCUGAUAUUUGUAAUUUCCCAGGAUAAGCCUGCCUGUGACACAGGGACUCACCUCCAUCUGGCCCCUCUAUGUAUUUGCUGCCUACAAAUGGGUCAAAGCCAGCCC